UGGGGAAUAUUGCACAAUGGGCGCAAGCCUGAUGCAGCAACGCCGCGUGAGCGAUGAAGGCCUUCGGGUCGUAAAGCUCUGUCCUCAAGGAAGAUAAUGACGGUACUUGAGGAGGAAGCCCCGGCUAACUACGUGCCAGCAGCCGCGGUAAUACGUAGGGGGCUAGCGUUAUCCGGAUUUACUGGGCGUAAAGGGUGCGUAGGCGGUCUUUCAAGUCAGGAGUUAAAGGCUACGGCUCAACCGUAGUAAGCUCCUGAUACUGUCUGACUUGAGUGCAGGAGAGGAAAGCGGAAUUCCCAGUGUAGCGGUGAAAUGCGUAGAUAUUGGGAGGAACACCAGUAGCGAAGGCGGCUUUCUGGACUGUAACUGACGCUGAGGCACGAAAGCGUGGGGAGCAAAC
rnacentral:rRNA from 1 species